rnacentral:rRNA from 1 species
GAUGAACGCUGGCGGCGUGCUUAACACAUGCAAGUCGAACGAUGAAGCCCUGCUUGUUUGGUGUGUUCGUGUCGCGCGCGUGAGUGUCACGCGAGUGUCCUCCGCUUUUCACUGUGAUAUGCCUGGGAGACUCUGUCUAAUACAGCAUAGGAGCGCCUCCCGCAUGUUGGGUGUUGUGGAGAUUUGGCGGUUUUGGAUGGACUCGCGGCGUAUCAGCUUGUUGGUGGGGUAGUGGCUCACCAAGGCGCCGACGGGUAGCCGGCCUGAGAGGGUGACCGGCCACACUGGGACUGAGACACGGCCCAGACUCCUACGGGAGGCAGCAGUGGGGAAUAUUGCACAAUGGGCGGAAGCCUGAUGCAGCAACGCCGCGUGCGGGAUGACGGCCUUCGGGUUGUAAACCGCUUUCAGUAGGGAAGAAGCGAAAGUGACGGUACCGGCAGAAGAAGCACCGGCUAACUACGUG